rnacentral:tRNA from 1 species
CGGGGCGUGGCUGAGAUAGUUAAGCACCUCCCUUACACCGAGAAGACAUCCAUGCAAACUGGAUCGCCCCGA